GGGAUAGAAUUCCAGGAGUAGCGGUGAAAUGCGUAGAUAUCUGGAGGAAUACCAAAGGCGAAGACAGUCCCCUGGUCCAAUACUGACACUGAGGUACGAAAGCGUGGGGAGCAAACAGGAUUAGAUACCCUGGUAGUCCACGCCCUAAACGAUGUCGAUUAGCCAUUGGAAGGACCCCUUUUCCUUUCAGUGACGUAGCUAACGCGUUAAAUCGACCGCCUGGGAAGUACGACCGCAAGGUUAAAACUCAAAGGAAUUGACGGGGACCUGAACAAGCGGUGAAUGAUGUGGAUUAAUUCGAUGCUACGCGAAGAACCUUACCUACCUUUGACAUGGCCAAAGUUCUACCGAGAGGCGGAAGUACUCGUAAGAGGAUUGGCGCACAGGUGCUGCAUGGUUGUCGUCAGUUCGUGUCGUGAGAUGUUGGGUUCAGUCCCGCAACGAACGCAACCCUUAUCUUUAAUUGCUCCUAUUUUAACAGGCACUUUAAAGAAACUGCCAAUGAUAAGUUGGAGGAAGGUGGGGAUCACGUCAAGUCCGCAUGGCCUUUAUAGGUAGGGCUUCACACGUCAUACAAUGGUUAGAACAAAGAGCUGCAAAUUCGUAAGAAGGAGCCAAUCUCACAAACCUAACCUCAGUUCGAAUUGCGGUCUGCAACUCGAGCGCAUGAAGCCGGAAUCGCUAGUAAUCGUGGAUCAGAAUGCCACGGUGAAUACGUUCUUAGGUCUU
rnacentral:rRNA from 1 species